UGACAGUACCGGGAGAAUAAGCUCCGGCUAACUACGGUCCAGCAGCCGCGGUAAUACGUAGGUGGCAAGCGUUAUCCGGAUUUAUUGGGCGUAAAGCGAGCGCAGGCGGUUUCUUAAGUCUGAUGUGAAAGCCCCUGGCUCAACCGGGGAGGGUCAUUGGAAACUGGGAGACUUGAGUGCAGAAGAGGGAAGUGGAAUUCCAUGUGUAGCGGUGAAAUGCGUAGAGAUAUGGAGGAACACCAGUGGCGAAGGCGGCUUCCUGGUCUGCAACUGACACUGAGGCGCGAAAGCGUGGGGAGCA
rnacentral:rRNA from 1 species